rnacentral:rRNA from 1 species
CAGCCGCCGCGGUAAUACGAAGGGGGCUAGCGUUGCUCGGAAUCACUGGGCGUAAAGGGCGCGUAGGCGGCCGAUCAAGUCAGAGGUGAAAGCCCGGGGCUCAACCCCGGGACUGCCUUUGAAACUAGGUGACUAGAAUCUUGGAGAGGUCAGUGGAAUUCCGAGUGUAGAGGUGAAAUUCGUAGAUAUUCGGAAGAACACCAGUGGCGAAGGCGACUGACUGGACAAGUAUUGACGCUGAGGUGCGAAAGCGUGGGGAGCAAACAGGAUUAGAUACCCGUGUAGUCCCUGUCUCUUAUAC